rnacentral:rRNA from 1 species
CUGCGGAAGGAUCAUUGUCGUGACCCUGACCAAAACAGACCGCGCACGCGUCAUCCAAUCCGUCGGCGACGGCACCGUCCGUCGCUCGGCCAAUGCCUCGACCACCUCCCCUCCUCGGAGCGGGUGGGGGCUCGGGGUAAAAGAACCCACGGCGCCGAAGGCGUCAAGGAACACUGUGCCUAACCCGGGGGCAUGUCUAGCUUGCUAGCCGUCCCUCGUGUUGCAAAGCUAUUUAAUCCACACGACUCUCGGCAACGGAUAUCUCGGCUCUCGCAUCGAUGAAGAACGUAGCGAAAUGCGAUACCUGGUGUGAAUUGCAGAAUCCCGCGAACCAUCGAGUCUUUGAACGCAAGUUGCGCCCGAGGCCACUCGGCCGAGGGCACGCCUGCCUGGGCGUCACGCCGAAACACGCUCCCAACCACCCUCAACGGGAUUCGGGAUGCGGCAUCUGGUCCCUCGUCUCUCAAGGGACGGUGGACCGAAGAUUGGGCUGCCGGCGUACCGCGCCGGACACAGCGCAUGGUGGGCGUCCUCGCUUUAUCAAUGCAGUGCAUCCGGCGCGCAGCCGGCAUUAUGGCCUUUGAACGACCCAACAAACGAAGCGCACGUCGCUUCGACCGCGACCCCAGGUCAGGCGGGACUACCCGCUGAGUUUAAGCA